AGCUGCCCUGGGGCGCAGGAAAGGGAAGCAGCGGGACAGGGGACAGGAAAUGCAGAGCUGGGAAUGGCCUGGCGGGGCGUGAGUUCCGGUGCCCAGAGAGACCUGGGCCGACUCAGGACGUCCCAGGGCCGGCUGGGGCGGUAACCUGCGCCUUCUCUGUGCCUCCCCACGGUGGGCCAGCUUUGCCCUGAGCUGGGCUUGCCGCGCAGGUGGUCCUAGGCUGCGCGCGGUGCUUUGGAAUUCCCUAGAGGAGAAGUCUUGAGCACCUUUUCUCUUUGGGAUGUUGAGGGCCAGCCACAUCCCUGGCCACCCUGCCACCAAUUCCUGCGGAGUUUGGGUCGUGCACGCAGUGCAGGGUUGUGCCGGAACCCACAGCUCACCCGGUUCAAUUUGAGCAUCCGAUAAACACCCACUAAUUUUGAGGGUAGAGUUAUAGACAGUGAGAGAGAGAGACAGAGAGAAAGGUCUGCCUUCCAUUGGUUCACUCCCCAAAUGACCGCUACAGCCGGAGCUUCGCCGAUCCGAAGCCAGGAGCCAGGUGCUUCCUCCUGGUCUCCCAUGCGGGUGCAAGAGCCCAAGUACUUGGCCAUCCUCCACUGCCCUCCUGGGCCACAGCAGAGAGCUGGACUGAAAGAGGAGCAACUGGGACUAGAACCCGGCACCCAUAUGGGAUGCCGGCACCGCAAGUGGAGGAUUAACCAACGAGUCCUCAACUAGUUCGUGGAAUGCCAAAAGAGCGGCCUCUCUCUCCUCCGCCCCCGCGGACCUCACUCGUGUUAACUCGAGAAAGGAGUUGGUUCUGUGAGAACCCCAUCCAUGUGAACUGGGCUGCCCUUAUGCUGGCAAGCACGUCUCAUCCCUGGUCUGUUACCUUCUUUCACACAGAGUGAGGUAAAGAAAUGAUUUAUCCUCUCAGCUGUGCGCUCAGCAUUGUCUCGCUAACUUCCCUUCCAGGCUCUCCACGGGAUUUGAAAAUUUAUAUUUCCUUGCUUUUGUUUGCUGAUUGUCUACAGGAUUUUUAUCUUCUUGUUUCAAGUUAAGUCUCACAAGCUAGGAUUUCCUUUCUUUAGUAACAUUUUGUCCCCUAAGCAUUUUUUUGGCUUUUCCUUGAGUUCAUUCACACUCCAUUUCACUUACUUUGUUUCUAACUUCAUGUAUCCUUGAAGAAGGCAUUACUUUUCAGCUUUAUCUACUGCCUUCUCGUUUUCUUUUUCUAUUUCUUUGCAGUGGCAAACCUUUGCAAGCUUUGCUUCCCUUUCUCUGCCUCUCUUUCUUUCUUGUUUUUGUUUCACUCUCAUUUAAAAUGACCUUGGAGAUGAAGUCCAAUAUCCACCCUACGGGCUCCUGGUUUUUUGCUUGUUUGUUUGUUUGUUUUCUAAAAGCAGCACCCAUCAGGACUUACACUGAAUAGCUCUUCUCAAAUUAGAAUCUCCUGUUGUCAUCCACCUAGUGGAUGACACCCUUUGGGGUGUAAGCUUAGCUCUGUUCAAGCGAAACCGACUGUACAGCAGGGAAAACAAAGACUCUGAUUCACUGCACCACCACCUAGCUGACCUGCAGCCGCCCAGGUCUCAGCACAAUACAAUUCAGACUAGGACUUCAGUGUGUGUGUGUGCUUAUUUAGAUACAAGGAGACUUCACAAAGUUCAUGGAAAAUGGAAUUAAAACGCGUUUGUUUUAUGCAUACAAGUUUGAAAUUCCUAACUAUGAGGGGUCCUCAACAAUUCAUGGAAAUGGGGCUGGUGCUGUGGUGCAGUAGGUUAAUCCUCCGCCUGCGGCGGCAUCCCCUAAGAGUGCUGGUUCUAGUCCAGGCUGUUCCUCUUCCCAUCCAGCUCUCUGCUGUGGCCUGGGAAAGCAGUAGAGGAUGGCCCAAGUCCUUGUGCCUCUGCACCCAUGUGGGAGACCGGGAAGAAGCUCCUGGCUCUUGGCUUCGGAUCAGCGCAGCUCUGGCUGUUGUGGCCAUUUGGGGAGUGAACCAGUGGACGAAAGACCUUUCUCUCUGUCUCUCCCUCUCGCUAUCUGUAACUCUGCCUCUCAAAAAAAAAAAAAAAAAAAUCAUGGAAAUGGACAUUACAGAAAACCUACUCAUGGACUUCAAAAAUUUUUUCGCCAAAGUUAACUUACCUUUUAAUUUCAUUUUCUUGAACUUCUUGAAGUCCUUUUUUAUAUGGUUCCUGCAAGAACAAAGAAAAGUUGAUGAAUGUCAUGGACAACAGAAAUAACAUUAUAAAUUAAGUUCAAUUUUAAUAAAAUACAAGAGAAGCCAUGUUAACAAGAUAUUUUCCAAGUUGCAGUUGGUGGCUUAACUUUUUAAAUUUUUGUUUAUUUUAAUUUUAUUUGAAAGGCAGAGAGACACACAGAGAAAGAGAGACAGAGAAACUGGCAGAGAGCUUCCAUCCACAGAUUCAUUCCCUAAAUGCCUGCAAUAACAAGCUAGGUGAAAGCCAGGAGCCAGGAACUCAAUCUAGGUCUCCCAUAUGCAUGGCAGAGAUCCAAAUACUUGAGAUAUCACCGGCUACCUUCCAUGGUACACAUUAGCAGGAAACUGGAUUGGAAGUGGAGUGGCCAGCAGUCUAAAACGGGAUGCAGGUAUUUUAGUAUCAAAUGCUUGUCUCUGAUGGUUCACAUUAAAAAAAAAAUUUGAGGGGCUGGCAUUGUGAUGUAGCAGGUAAAGCUGCAGUCUUUGAUGCCAGCAUCCCAUUCCAGUGCCAGUUCGAGUCCUCGCUGUUCCAUUUCUGAUCCAGCUCCUUGCUAAUGUGCCUGGGAAAGCAGCGGAAGAUGCCCAAGUCCUUGUGAUACUGUCUUGCUUAUUAAUAUUUUUUUCAACAUCUUUAAGCCUUGUGGGUUCUUGCCACAUAUUCAGAGAAGAAUUCUGAAUACUGGCUUAAAUAGACCAGACAACAUGGUAAGUUUUAAGGAUUUUAUUCGGCGUGAGAAAUGAGUAGGAGAGUGAGGGCUUUAUUUAGGGGAGAAAGAGAAGUCCAGAAAUUAAGUUGGGUCCAUACCAAGCAGAGAGCAGGCGGAGAGCCACAUGGAGUGAGCGUUUGGUUAUGAGCAGCCACAAGUAGCUUAACAGGAGUAGCAAAGCAAAGGUGGGGAGAGAGUGAUUCGGGGGCAUUCCUCGCCUUUCAUAUGCGUUCCAAACGGGAGUGGUCACAGAGUCUGAUGGGCAGGUGGGCAUUCAGGUGUGAUCAGGUAGGGGCGUAAGCUCGCACAGGGGCGUGGUGAAGGCGUGAUCUUCCAGCUCACAAACCUAAUCAAUUUUAUCCUAUCUGCCUGCCUACAUCACUUGGGCCCCUGCACCCACGUGGGAGAACCAGAAGUUUCUGGUUCUUGGCUUUGGCCUGGCCCAGCCCUUGCCAUUGUGGCCCUCUGGGGAAUGAACCAGCAGGUGGAAAAUCUCUCUCUCUCUCUCAUACUCUCUGUUUCUUCCUCUCUCUGUGUAACUCUGACUUUCAAAUAAAUGAAAAAAGCCUUAAAAAUCCAGUAUUUAAUAUAAUAAAAUUUCAGAUCAAUAAAUGAAUUGGAAUAAUACCCUAGAGUUUGUUGCAAACAAAUUUGGUUAGUACUUGAUUAAUUCAAGUAUUUUAAAGUUUUGCUUUUAGAUAAUAACCUUUAAAAAAUGAGUCAGUUUGAUAUGGAAUAAGGCAGAUAGCUAGAUUAGGGUCAUGAGCUAGAAGCCACAUCUCCCCUGCCCUAUGUAAUCCUGUCCACUCACUUGUCAGUCAAAUGUCCCCUUCUCCAGAAUGUACCUCCCCUGGGGGCGGUGCCAUGUGACCACUUCCUUUUCCAAGCUCAUAAGAAGCUUCUCAAUGGGGAGGGGCUCUCCCCCUCACCCGCACUCUCAGAGGAAACAGGGUUCUGCAAAACUCCCCCCACUCUUUUCCCUUCCUGGCCUGCUCUUCCUGAACAAUGCCCACGUGUGUGUGUGUGUGUGUGUGUGUGUGUUCCUCACCUUUUAAUAAACUUUAGCACUUUGCAUGUUGUAUGUGUGCCUGUACUCACAAUGCUUCUCUAAGAGGCAAGAGCUAGCCCACAGCAAAUUGAUUCAAACCUAGAGAAUCAGUAGCAGCAGGAGAAAAAUGCAUUGCCAAAGGACGUGUGGGCCAUGAUUUUACGAGAUGUUUCCUGAUAGGCAGUAAGGAGUAGCUCAGAAAGUCUACCUAAGACAGAGUUUUGAAAAGUACAGCACAAGUUUACCUGACUGUCCUUUGAUCAGCACGUCUAGCUUUCGUGACUUUGUCAGGUAUUGUCAAUGCACACACGAGUGUGUCUUUUUAAAAAUUUUUUAAGAUUUAUUUAUGUAUUUGAAAGUCAGAGUUACACAGAGAAAGGAGAGGCAGAGAGAGAGAAAGAGGUGUUCCAUCCGCAGGUACACUCUCCAAUUGGCCGCAAUGGCCAGAGCUACACCAAUCUGAAGCCAGGAGCCAGGAACUAAUUCCAGGGCUCCCAUGUGGGUGCAGGGGCCCAAGGACUUGGGCCAUCUUCUACUGCUUUCCCAGGCCGUAGCAGAGAGCUGGAUCAGAAGUGGAGCAGCCAGGGCUUGAGCCAGCGCCUAAAGGGAUGCCGGCACCAAAGGCCAGGGCUUUAACCUGCUGCGCCACAGUGCCGGCCCCAGAAAGGCAGUCCUACAAACCCCAUCCAGACCUACUGAAUGAAUCUGUCCUAGAAGAUCUUCAAGUAAUGCAAAUCAAGGUUUGAAAUGCACUGAGUUAGCCUAUUUCUAAACAAUGCUGCUCUGAACAUCUUUAUCCACAUAUCCUUUCCCUUUGUGGAUGGUUUGAUUGUGUUCAAUUCCCAGAAGUGGUUUAUGAGUUCAAAGGAUUUUCCGGCUUUGUGCAGGAGAGUACUUCUGGACCCAGUGGGAUGGGUGUGGCCAGGUGCUAGGACCUGAGUAUUGGUCUACAUGGUGCCAUCUGUUGGCUGGCGGUUUUAUGUUGACCUGUUGGGGUCUUCCUUCUUUAAAAGCCCUGUGAUUUGAAGAACAAACCUUAUAUUGCCACAUGGAGGCAGAGCCAAAGGGGAAAAUAACUUUGUUCCGUCUCCCUGCCCCACAGACUGAGAGCUUCUUGCAAUGCCCAUCAGAUUGCAAGGCUGACAACUCCUAAGUAUUCCAGAUACAGGCCAGAAACCUCCUUAGGUUUCGUGUCUAGGGAAUUCAUUCCUGACUUUCUCUGAGUCAUGAAGAAAAAGAAAUGCUUCUUUAGGGGCCUUCGGAUUCACCUUCCAAGCCACAGUAAUCCUAGCUCUGUUCUGGCAUCUGCAACCCCAGGGAUCACUGUGCCGCCUCCGUGAUGCCUCCUGAGUCUCCCUUCCUCCCCAGGAGCUGCAGCUAUUUUCUGUCACAGAUAAUCUGAGCCCUGCAGGGGUCUGGAAUUCCAGGGCCCGUGCCCUGCUCUCUGGGUCCCCGCUUCUCCGCCAGACUCCCCUCCGCUACCACCACCGUCAGGUCUGACCUGCGUCUGUCCUCCAGCACUUGCCGUAGUUUAGCUGGCCUCUCAGUGGCUGUUUUUCUUGGGACAAUGUCACAUUCUGAGAUUUAUGAUAUGCUUCCCUGAUAGUGAUGUUGUCCAGACCUUCAGUUUGUUUCUUAGUGUUCUUAAGCCUGCCCAUCAAAGCUGCCACCCAUCAGGCCUGCUUAUCUGUGCAGCUGUCUGGACCGGAGUCUGGCCACUUCAUUUUGCAGGUUUUGUCUUCCUUCAGGGAUGAUCACAGAUGACAUCUGGAUUUGUCUUGAGAUCCCUGGAGCAUCCGUAUCCAUCCAGUGGGGCUUGACCAGACCACUGGCGCGCCCUUCCAGUGUCUUGGGCAGAGAUUUCCCCUAACUAAGUUGCUCUCCCUUCCCCAUCAGUGAUGGAGCUUAAUGCUGUCUCACAGAGAAAUGGAAGAGCACUUGCCAUCCCUACUGUUCAUAUGGGAUUCAACCUGUAAGUCCCACUUUAGGGUUAUAGUCAAGUUUUAUGUUCAAUCCACAGCACGGUAAUGGGUAUUAUGUGAAAGUGUUUAUGGCAGAAUGUGUGUGAAAGUGUGUCUCACACACACAUACACACAGAGAAAGAGAGAGAGAGGGAGAGAGAGAGAAGCUAGCUGGCUUUUACCUAUAGUUUGUUUUGCUCCGAGAUGGGCCAAGUGGAGCAGUUUGUCUCUGCAAUGGCUGCUGUGACGGCCUCCCCUUUUUGGUACAGCCCUUCUCCCACUGAAUAGGUUCUGUGCCUCUGCUUCUCAAAGUCUGGGCUGCUGUGUGAAUGCCGUGGUCAAAAGAAUAUAGUACAAGUGAGGCCUGGGCGUAAGAAGGUUGCAGCAGCUUCUUUGUGGCUCUUUCGGGAUGUGCACGCUGGGGAAUCCAGCGUGGUCUAUGAAAUCAGACUACUCUGAGGCUCCUGUGCUGUGGUGAAGCCCAUGGCAGUCCAUGGAGAAGCCAUGUGGACAGAGGUCUCAGUCAUUCACUUUGGCCAUCCCAGUGCCCGCGCCAGACCCAUGAGUGAAGAAACCGUAAAGAUGUCAGGCAGUCUUUGCCCAGCUGCCGUUCCAUGAGGAAUCUCACAAAAGAAUCACCCAAGGGAGCUUUAAGCACCUGGAGUUGUGAAAGAUAACAACACAGAAGCUAUUGUAGGGUUGGGCAUUUAGCCUACGGUGAAAGUGCUGGUUAGGAUGUCUGCGUUCCACAUCGAGGUCCUGAGAUCCAGGCCUGGCUGUGCUCCCUAUUCCAGCUUCCUGCCAACGUGCACCUGGAAGGCAGCAGGUGAUGGCUCAAGUAUAUCUGUGUCUGAUAUCCACUGUGUUUGGGGAUUGGUUUGGUAUGCAGCAAGAGGCAAGAGAUAACUGGAAUACCAAGUAUCUCUGUUUUGUAAGGAAACUUCUUACAUCCAAGUUGGUAAAACAACUGCCUGUGUGAUUAUGCCACAGGGUUUCAAGUUCUACUUCCACUUGUCUUUAAAAGGCACGGCAUGCUAAAUUACUCAGGAGAGGGUACAAUGGCUACUUUAAUUUGCUGUCCAGAUGUGGCAUAAAUGUGGGUUCUGUUGGACAUCAAUUCAGUGCUAUAGGCUAGCUAUGUUCUAGGAAUUUAUUCUUGGAAAGUCUAACUUAUUAUUAAUAGUAACUAGGUAUCAAGAUGGGGACGAGUCAUUGGAAGGUAGAAGAAGAAGUACACUUAUAAAGAAAUCACCCAGUCCAGCCAUAUAUGUACAUACAUAAGCAUAUGUGUGUGUGUUUAUAUACAUACAUAAACAGAACCACAGAGAGGCAACAUGUCUUGCCAAGAAUGCAGAGUUGUUUUCUAACAAUGCUGGGACAAGAAUCCAGGUGUCCUGGCCCAGGGGAAGCUCCUUUCCCAUACCACCCUGCUGCUUGGGUGCAGGAGAAACCAACAUGCAAUUUGAUUUUGUCCUUACUUUCAUUUAUUGUGAAUUUCUUAUGUAUUAUUGAUCUGUGCAAUGGAGCAAAUAUAGUAAUCCCCCCAAUAUCUGUGGUCUUGCUUUUCAUACUUUAAGUUACCCAUGGUCAACGUGGUCUGAAAAUACUACAUGGAAAAUUCCAGAAAUAAAAAUUCAUAAAUUUUUUACAAAGAUUUGUUUGAAAGAGUAAAGAAAGAGAACGUGAGACACAGACAUACAGAGAGAGAGAGAGAGAGAGGUCAUCUACCCACGGUUCACUUUCCAAAUGGCUACAACAGCCAGGCCAGGCUGAAGCCAGGAGCCAGGAGUGUCAUCCGGGUCUUCCACAUGGGUGCAGGGGCCCAAGUACUUGGUCCAUCCUCUGCUGCUUUCCCAGGUGCAUUAGCAGGGAGCCAGAUUGGAAGUAGAGCCAAGUGGUGCCCAUAGGGGAAGCCAACAUUGCAGGCAGAGGCUUAACUGGUUAUACCACAAUGCCAACCCCCCAGAUUCAUAAAUUAUGAAUAAAUUUGGUUGCAGUGUAUUGUUAUAACCUUGUUUUAUUAGUUGGUAUGAUAUUGUUUCAAGUCUCUUAUUGUGCCUAAUUUGAAAUUAAACUUUACCAUAGAUAUGUAUAUGUAUUUAAAAAAGACAGCAUAUAUGGGAUUUGGUACCAUCUGUGGUUUCAGACAUAUAGUGGGGGGCUUGGAAUGUAUCCCCUGUGGAUGAGGGGGGCUACUGUACCUAACUCACAGGAUCACUAGGAGAGUUAAAGGAAAUGGCCUAUGGAAAUUAUUUGGCACUUACUAUGUCCUCAAUAAAUGCUAAGUGCCUUCUUCAGGAGCCCAGUAAAACAAAUUCUUUGGCCGACCAUCUCCAGGACCUUUAAAUCGAAAGAAUUUCCCCACAAACAAUGCCCUAGGUAUGAGAAAUCCAUCACUCGGGAGGGCUGCAGCGGGGAAUGCAGCAUCCACCCAAGUUCUAACCCAGACAAGUAGACAUUUAAACGACCUGUGAGAAAAGAAAGGAGUGGGUUGCGGAUAAUUAGCCCGAGUGCAUGGAAUAACUCACUGUCCUGCACAGAGAAGCAGGCAGGGCUGAGUCAGCUCUGCACGCGAGAAUGAGAAGAGAGCAGGCCUGGGUGUCUGCAGUUCUUUCUGUCAACGUUUUACAAAGAUCAGGCCCUCGAGCUGUCUGUCUGCAGGGGAGGUGAGCCAUCCCCCCGCCUGGCUCUCCAGACUUCUGUUGGGGUAGCCUGUCUCCCUGCGGUUAUCCCCACGUCUGCUUCCCUGUCUCCCUGCAGCGUAUGUGCUGUGUGUGUAAAACUCUUUAUGUGGAGUCUGGGAAUGGUUUUGAAUACAUUCGGAGCAAUAAGCCAGAGCCUCCACCUUCAAUACCUGCUUCUGCCGUUUCUCAUCAACGGGGCUGCAAGCACAUGUGGGAAGCAGCCGCCCGUGACGGGCUGGGGCCCCAGCGUGCAUGCAGAAGCAGAUGCGGGCAAAAGAGAUCUAUUGUACUGAACACCUGUCCAGCCAGCAGGACUGAAAAACGAGGUGUUCUGGAGCCCCUGGACAGAACUUGUGGACACAGGCAGCAAGGGACAAGCACAGGUGUAACAAGCAUAACGAUUUUAGGUGAUGAGCAGGAAAGUCAUCGGCGCUAGUUUUUUGCUCACUGAAUGGUUAAGAUGAAGGUGUUGUUUUUGGGCUGUUGGAGGAUGCCUUUGGGAUUAGAUGGACAGGUUCAAGUUCCAGGUUUGCCUCCCCUCCCCCUCCCAACACCGCCAUUGGCUGUGUGAUUUGCGGUACGCUGUUUAACUGUGAGCUACGGUUUGCUCACCCGACCAGCGGGCAUGCUAAUAACGCCUGGUUUCCGAGCAGACUGUAAAGAAGAUGCCAUGAGGAGGGUGUGAGUGAAGGGCCUGUCACCCUGGAGCAUCGCAGGUGUUCCGUAAAUCACGGCCAUUAUUACCUUGACUGUGAUUUCCAAAAUAAAGGGGGACAGUGUUAUGACGGGAAUAAAAUUAGUUUGCUCUUUAAAAUAAAUCUUCAACUCAACACUUAAAAUGUCACCUAGCUCCCCGUGCCUAUUAAAGUGGAUCAUCAUGUCUGACUGAAUCACUGAUUUGGUGAGAUGCCACGUCAGGUCCACAUGUCCUCCCUGUUCUCGGCAACGUCCAGAAGAUAAGAGGAGCUGCAGCUUUGAGUCUGAACCGGGUCGGGUUGGUCAGGAUGCUGUCCUUGACGGGAAUUGUUUGAGCUUCCCGUCCAAGGGUACAGUAGCAUUUAUUGUAACGACGUUCUUGUUCCGUAUAAAGGGGCGAAAGAACUCCCAGUCCUACAGGUUGUGCUAACAGGUUUGUAAUAUGUGUAAGAGGGACCCAACCAAUAACAAAAACAGAGAAACUACCAUUUAUUGGGUGCCCGCUGGGUGCCAGGCUUUGCACAGUCCUCCUUUGUGUGGAUAUCUGUGUCCCCUUUUAAUGGAGGAGAAACCUGGGGCUCCAAGAGGCGGUGUGUCGUGGGAGUUGCUCCCGGUGGCCAGCAGAGCCUCUGCUGGAAGGCACGGGACCUGUCAGAUGCCGAAGCCCGCACUCUGUUCAGUCUACUGCACUGCCUCCAUGCUCAGCUGCAUUUGCUGGGACUGGCCCAACAGAAACUCUGACUCAGUUUCCUUGGACUUCCCCUGCCCUCAUCUUCGGAGUACAACCCUGCUGCUUCCACCUGGGUCCGGACGACAGAAACUCUGUGCAUCUGUCAGUUAUUACAAGAUGCUGAGUGUGAAACUUUUAAUCAAGGAUUUCAGAGAAAGGCCACAUCUGGAAGCAGUUAUCCAGAUGUUCCACACCGCUUUGGCCAGUAGUUGCCAGACUGCUGUCCAGGUGAUGAGUACAGGACACCUCCUCCAUAUGUGCAGGACGUCUGGAGGGACUGAGCGCUGGGAAAUUUGUAACUACUGUGCUGUGUCCUGUGUCACACAGCUCCAAGGCCUGGGGGGUCUUGAUGACACAGAAGAAUCUCCAAGUUGAAGAAUUAUUGGCCCCAUUUUCCUCAUGAUCCCUAGCGCUCUGCUUGAAGGAGCCAUGGGGAGUGGUCUGCUCAUAACACUAGGGCACCUGCCUCCCAGCAGGUUGGCAGGUUGGCAGGUUGCUUCCUUUCCCCCCUAAGACUGUACAGAGAAAAUUCUGGAAUAGUUGGCCUCAAACAAGAGGGUGCUGCAAGGAAGGAACAGGAUGAUCAGGGCUUCUGCUUCCAGGCCCAAGUUUUGCAGGAAUUGCAGCACUGUGUAGAAGCGGUUGCAUUCCUUACAACACACACGACGCAGGGAGCUGAUUUCUAAUCAGACAUCAUGACUUGCUCCAUAUCACCCAGCCUGUUGGUUUUGAUCCCAGUAAUUGCUGAUUGAACCUACUAAUGAGGAAUCAAUAUGGCAUCAGGUAAAAAGGCAAAAGGGCCUAGAAGUGGAAGAUGAACUCUCUGCACGUAAAUCCAUUGCUGGUGGCGGCUGCGGGUGACUCUUUGUUCUGAGAAAACCUACCGUCUUAGUCUCCCUGUCGCAGGAAGGCUGGCCUCCGUUGAGGAGUGGUAGGGGUCGCGGUGGCUUGUGUUGAAGCACAAGCAAUCGGUUAGUGAUUUGGGCCAAAGAAGGGCUGACUGGGACAGGCCGAGAUCCAGCUGAUGCUAUUCACAUUCACACAGGCAGACUCCACUUGUAAUCUGGCCCAACCAGCUUGAUUCAAAAAACCAGCCUCUCCGAAGGAAUUUCACACAUGCAAAUGAGGAUUUUGAUGGUCCUUGUAAAAUAACCUCUAGUUUAGUCUGAACAGUCCCGGCCAUUUGAGAGCCAAAGUCCCCAAGAUGGGCCAAAUUGACUUCACAAUUGCUCUAGUCUGAACCCAGCCUCAGGAACCACAGAGGCAGCAGUUUUCAAUCUUCCAGCCCCGGAGAAAGCACUCAGAGCCCUGGGUUAUUUCAGUGCAGUCAGAGCCAGACGAUACUUAGGCCUAGGAAACAAAGGUGAACCCACGUGAGCUCCCACCCUUUAACGAUGUGUUCAAGAGGUAUGUUUGGGGCGGUGAUUAAUAUGCACGCAUCUCCUGCUGGAGUAUCUGUGAGUGCUACUUGGAUCCCACCUCCUCUUAAUGCACACCCUGGGAGGCAGCAGUGAUGGCUCAAGUGCUUGGGUCCCUGCCACCCAUGUGGGAGACCCAGACAGAUUUGGACACCAGGCUUUGGCCUGGCUCUGUGCAGCCUGUUGCAUGCAUUUGGGGAAAUGAAAUAGUGGAUGGAAGCUCAUUUUGUGUCUGGCUGUUUGUGUGUGUCUCUUUCCCUGCCUCCCACAUGUAUAAAAGUUAGAAAAAAAAUUACUAUGUUCAAACAAAAAUGUUAAUACAACCUUUAAGAAUGGAAUCCUUGGGUCCUGUCAAGGUAUAACCAUUCAUAGCUUUUUCUUGACACAUUUCAGCGUUUGGGAUCGCCUUUGUAUGUCUGUCAUUACUUACAGGCUUGAAAAGUGUUUUUUUAAUGUUUUUCAGUAGAGUGAAAUAGUUGAGCUGUUGGAAAUAUUUAAGUAUAGUUUUGCUUUGUUUUAUCUUUAUAGUUUUCUACAUCUGGAUUAUUUUAGACCUAGGCAAAGAUCCAUUAGCAUCACAGAAAACAAAACUGUACUGUCUUCAAGCUAUAUUUUUGACUAAAAUUUUCUGGAAGCACAUGGUAUUUGUAUGAUUUGAUAGGACAAAAACUCCCUCAUACUCCAACUCCCUGGAGAACGCCUGUGUACCUGCUUCUUUCUUCCUUCCUCUCCCUCAAAGGUGACCCUGAUCUCAAAAUGCAGAGACUGUGGGCAGCCCAGUGGCUUCACCUGCCACGAAGACUGCUAAGACAAAGAGGACGAGCAUGAGCCCUGCUCAAGAGCGUGGAGCUUCAGGAGCCCACAGUGUAUCCAAUAGAAAGGCCCAGCAGACACAUUUCCCCAGUGUCCAUAGGGACACUUUUUUUUUUUUUUUUUUUGGACAGGCAGAGUGGACAGUGAGAGAGAGAGACAGAGAGAAAGGUCUUCCUUUGCCGUUGGUUCACCCUCCAGUGGCUGCCGCGGCCGGCGCACCGCACUGAUCCGAUGGCAGGAGCCAGGUGCUUCUCCUGGUCUCCCAUGGGGUGAAGGGCCCAAGCACUGGGCCAUCCUCCACUGCACUCCCGGGCCACAGCAGAGAGCUGGCCUGGAAGAGGGGCAACCGGGACAGAAUCCGGCGCCCCGACUGGGACUAGAACCCAGUGUGCCGGCGCCGCUAGGCGGAGGAUUAGCCUGUUGAGCCGCGGCGCCAGCCUAGAGACACUCUUAAGCAAAAUCUCUAUCCAGCCGAGAUUGUUCCCUGAAAUAGCUCCUGUUUUAAUGAGUCAUGGGCCCAUAUCUGUUUUGCCGGAGAGGCUGAUGAAGCUGGUCUAUUUUUCUAACUUAUUUAUCUGUUUAUUUAGUUUUUGAGCCAGUGGGGUCUCCCGCUUCAUGCUUCGGUUUGUCCAAAUUUCAUUUACAAUAUCCUAAUAAAUCUCUAUGCUGAGGGAUCAUGUAGACAUGAGCAUGGCUUCAGGGGUUACCUGGAGUACUGUGAUGUUGAGAAGCGUAUGGCAGUGUUUACUGUGGGGGACUCGGGGAUCUCACUGCACGCAGCUCAAGGUGGGCUUCUCACUUUCGACUCAGAUAAGCAAUGUGGAGGAAGGGCCAGGGAAAGUCUGGCCCAGGUUCUGUCCACACUACCUUUAGGCUCAGAGCAGCAAAAAAUUACUCAUGUAAUCCCUUCUUUAGUCGGAUGAUGACACCUGGGAAACAAAUGACUUCUGUAAUAGAAGUACAAGUAAAAGUUCUUGUCCAAAUGUCCCUAAGUACUCUCCACCUGCAGGUAAAGACCACAUCAACAUCCACUCCUCAGCCUCCUUCUCCUCUGUGAGCUGCAUUAUCCUGGGGCGUCCCCAGGACUGUCCUGCCUGAGUUAAUGUUUUGGUUUUUAAAAAAUUAUUUUCAUCUACUUGAAAGGCAGAGUGACAGGGAUACAGAAGAACAGGUGGACAGAGAGAGCUUUGAUCUGUUGCUCACUCCCCAGAUGCCUACAGCAGCCAGGGCUGGCUGGGCCAGGCUGAAGCCAGGAGCCAGGAGCUCCAUCUGGGUCUCUCACAUGGAUGGCAGGGACCCGAGUACUUGGGCCGUCUUCCAUUGUCUCCAGGAUUCAUCAGCAGGAAGCUGGAUGCAAGUGGAGUAGCUGGACCUUGAACUCAUACUUUAAUUAUUAAUUAAUUAUUAAUUGAGUUGUAGACAAUCCAAACAGUGGCCUAACCUACUACACCACAACACCCAUCCUGGGUUAAUAUAGUUUUUAAAUUAUUUAUUUAUUUAUUUUUAUUUGACAGAGUAGACAGUGAGAGAGAGAGAGACGGAGAGAAAGGUCUUCCUUCCGUUGGUUCACCCCCAAAAUGGCUGCUACGGCUGGUGCUAUGCCAAUCCAAAGCCAGGAGUCAGGUGCUUCUUCCUGGUCUCCCAUGCAGGUGCAGGUGCCUAAAUACUUGGGCCAUCCUCCACUGCUUUCCUGGGCCACAGCAGAGAACUGGAGUGGAAGAGGAGCAACCGAGACUAGAACCCGGCACCCAUGUGGAAUGCCAGUGCCUCAGGUGGAGGAUUAACCAAGUGAGCCAUGGUGCCCGUCCCCGGGUUAAUAUUUUUAUGUCAUUCCAUCUGGACAUACAUUCAGUGUAUUUUGUUUUGUCACCUCUUUUCAUUUGUAAUGAACCUCCUCCAGGGGUUGGCCAUUUUUCUAUAACAUUUUUAUGGUUAUAUGGUAUUCAGUUAUGUUAAUACUUUGUUUAACCAGUUCUCCAUUGCUAUACUCAAACAUUUAUUCCCAAUAAUAAAUAAUUCUGCAAUGAAUGUCUUUGCACAUAUAUCUUUAUAAUUGUUGACCUGAAAUAAAUUUCUGGACAUGGAAUUCCUGGGUCAGAGGGUAUGCUCAUCAUAAGGAGUUAAUGUUAUUAUUAGAAAUAAUAAUGAUAAUGACAUUAAGUUCUAUUAAACAUUGGACCAAUGGGUGGCAAUUCUAGAGAGAGCUUUAGAAAAAAAAUAGGCAGUUCUUACAGCCCUUAAAAAUUCAUUUUAAGUAAUAAGAACCAUUCCAAAUGAUUGACACAAUGGAGCAAUUUUGAAUGUUUGAAACACCUCUUUGUAGUCUGACACUUUUGCAUCCUAAAUUUUAAAUUAGACACGGUAUUCUUAUGCAGGAAUUGUAAGCAUGUAGUUAAAGGACAAUAUAUAAAUAAUUUAUGAAUGAUAUUUAUUAUCAACAAGCCAUGGAAGUGCACAUGGGCAUUCUACACUUGAUUUAAAAGCUCAGCAUAGUGAAGUUUGUUAAUUCUCUCCUGGAGAGAUUUUAAAGUCCCAGUGGUCCCUAAAGGAUUAAGUGGAAUGUAUGACUCGUAUCCUUCACUAGGUUUUAAGAGAAAGGAGUUGUCACCAGUGUGUUCUGACCAAAUGCCUUAUUAAAGACACCACCAAGAACGGAGCUUGGGAGCAAGGGUAGCCCAGACGCCCCUGGCAGCUCCAUCGCCCUGUACUUUAAUAACUCACUGGCAACAUGAUGAAGUCGUUUAUGUUCCAGACUUUGCCUCCUGGUAUCUAGAUUUUUAUAGGUGUUUUGACUGAGGUGUAGAGGAGGCAUUUUUUUGGCCGCUGAUUUCUAUUCCAGAUUGUGGGAUGUGAAUAAUUUCGUAAAUUAACAUCAAUGGGUUAGACUGUUCUUUGUUACCGGAGGCCCCUGGGCUGCCUGUUCCACUGGAUGCUCACAUUAAUUUGCAACCACAGGAGGAUGGCUGCUGGGUACAUACACCAAGUGAAAUUUCCUCCUGCAGGUUUCCCUCCCUGUUUCGGAUAUUCAGGUAGCCACUAAAGUCUGAGGCAGCUCUCCUUGUGCGUUCAUAAUUCUGGCCAAACCUAGGGCUUCCAAAACUAAUAUCAGGGAGGAAAGAUCCAAACCCUAGUGCUUUUGUGGCUUUUUUUUUUCCUGGGGCCAAUUUUCGGCCAUGUUUCCAAUGAUCACUCUAUACUCCUAGUUAUACACUAAACACAUAAACUGUGUGUGCUACAAAUGAUGUUUUUCUAGCCUGUCCGUAUAGCCUAUUAAACCAGAGUUGGCGGUUUUCCAUCCCUUAGGAGAAGCAUUUGGCAUAAAUAAUAUUGUCAUUUGGGAAGGCUAGACAUGGUUUGAAGAAGUGACCUUGUAUAAAUAUUGUCUGAGGUAUGACUGAGGCUAAAUUAUAUGACAGGGAGCUAGUAUAGUCUGGGCUCCGGGCCCUCCUGGUAAUGAAGUUGCUCCUUGUAAUAACGGAGCCAUCUGAAUUGAAAAUGUAAUCAAAUACAUCAGUGGCCGUUAGAAACACAGCAACCAGCUUAUUUAUGGACCCACAAGGUCUGGAGGAUGGCAAAACAGUGCUGGAAUUUCUUUGUUGUUCAAUGGUUUUGUCUUUUUAAAAGACAAGAUGUCCUAGAAAGUGCCUUUUGUCCUCACCACUGAACUUCCCUCAGUGUUGAGACUGCUGAACAGGCCAAGACUUUGUUGAUUCCCCACCCACGUUUGGGGAGAGCAGCUGGCACUGAGCACAGGCUCGGGUAUUGCUGGCUCCUUGUGGCUGACCUGGUGUAUCAGUAGCACAACACAGCCCCCACCCCCCACGCCAAGGCAGUGACUUUCCAUUCCCUCUCUCAACACCCGACUUUGGGAUUUCAUUUCCUCUUUCCUGGCCUGUUCUGCCUACUGGCCUUCUAAUUAUUCAGGAUUCUUUCCCUUCACUUUCUCUUCCUUUUAUUAAUUGAUUUGCCAGAUUUGUCUUUCAAAAGCGUGGCUUUAUUUUCAUCAGUCCAUCUAUUUACCCCUUUAUUAACGAAUGCUUAUUGAGCGUCAACUGUGUGUUCAAACACUUUGCUCCCUGCUAUAAUAAAAUUUACAGCCUUGUGGAGUUGUCAUUUGACAAAGAACUGUGCUAUUGAACAUACAAUUAUAAGUAUCGUGACUGUUCUGUAGGAAAGAAGCAAGAUUCUCUGGAAAGUGUGAAACCGAGGGAUCCUCUCUGGACUGAGGAGUCAAGGAGUCUCUACUGAGGAAAUGAUAAUUAAGUUGCAGUGUAAGGUUUUGACUAGACAGAGAGGAGCUGAGGAGUGGGGCUGGGAUGGGGUGUGGUGGGGACUGUUUUCCAAAAAGAGGAAGCCGCAGGUCAAGGCAGAGGGAUAUAUGGCAGCAUCCCUGGAACAGAGAAAAGACCAGCACAGCUGGAGUAGAGGCAGAGUAAAGGGUCACACUAGGAAGGCUAUGUAGGCCAUGUUCAUUGUGGUCUAUAGUCUAUCAGCAGAGGGGAGCCAUUAAAGAGUGUUUAAGGAGGUCUGGGAUUUGAUCAGAUUUGCUUUGUGAAAGGACUACUUGGGCUGCAGUGGGGAAAAGAAUUGAUUGGCAAUGGAAAGAAUCCCGCUAUUGGCAGUGGAGAUGUGAAGUAGACGGGUCUGAGCAUUGUUAAUGUUGGGGGAAAAUCCCACAGUUUGAUGAUGGAUUGGACAUUAGGAAUGAGGGAGAGGAAACUGUCAAGGGUGAUUGAAAGCUUCCAUUUUAUGAAGCUACAUGGGCUAUGCAUUUACUGAGUGGUGGAAUACUGAAAAAGAACACUGAGUUUUAGCAGAAAAUGAGGAGCAAAAGCCUUGAGGCAGAAGCACACUUGAUUUUCAAGGAGUAGGCUGGAGAGAG